rnacentral:rRNA from 1 species
CGUGUAGGCGGGCUGGAAAGUCAGGUGUGAAAUACUAUGGCUCAACCAUGGAGUGUCAUCUGAAACUACCAGUCUUGAGUUCAGGAGAGGGUGGUGGAAUUCCCGGUGUAGCGGUGAAAUGCGUAGAUAUCGGGAGGAAUACCGGAGGCGAAGGCGGCCACCUGGACUGACACUGACGCUGAGGCGCGAAAGCGUGGGCAGCAAACA